CAUCUAACUGGCGGGGGCCCACCACCACCUCCCCUCACUCCAUCUGAGGAGCUGGCUCUGUCCAUUAAUGAAGGGCCACCAGUGACACUAACAUGGUGAAAUGAUGAAGAUGUAGAGAAUACAUCUGCUGUGACAGAAGUGGACAAUGCUGGUAGAUCCACUGAGUACAUACCUGGGAAUUUCUCCACGAAUGAAGGUCCUUCAACCAUGCACAAUCUAAUCAAUUUGCCAGCAAACAAGCUGUAUAAGGUCCAUCUUCAAAAACAAAUUAGAAAAAGUGACAUGGACCUUAAAUGGAAGAGAAAAGGCUAUUCAUUAAAAAAGCAACACUAGAAAUUAAAUUACUGGAGCGUCGC